GAAGAGGCUCAGAUGGUGUACGGCCAGUGAAGGCAAGAUCUGCUCAGUGACACCGGAUAAGCAAUGUGAUAAAAGGAGGCUGGAGUGGAAAUAUUCUGGCAGCCAGAUUUAGACACCGUGAUGCAAAAGUUCCAUGAUGCCCUGUGGAAGCCAUAGUUAGAGAUGUGUCCUUGCAGAGAAGCAUUCUCAGUGGGAGAGUUGCAGAGAUCCAGCCUUACCCCUAGAACCUUCCAUGUGUUGGAGAACUUCAGUGACAGAUUUACCAGGAGAACACAGAGCUGGAGAGGAGAAAGGAAGACGGGACUUGGUCAGUCACUGAUGCUUCAUCAUUUGGUACAUAAAAGGAGAUGAAACAAACCCCCUCUUUUUAAUUGGAAAGUCAGAACUUCUGGUGGUGUCAAGAUCUGUGGAAAACAUCGUAUUCCACAGGAAUUAAAUCAUAGAACCACAAGUUUGGAAGUGACCUUCAAGGUCAUCUAGUCCAACCGUCCUGCCGUUACCAUUGCUACCACUAAUACUUCAUAGGUCUGUAGACAGUGGAAUUUUAUCCUAACAAAAGCUACAUCUUAAGAGUUUUUAGAGAAAUUUUGCCUUAUCUUUUCCAUUUGUCUACAAUACCUUCCAUAUUUCUGCCUCCUAGGUAAUAUCUCUGUAGAAAAGAAGUACUGUGAACUGCUUUUCAUAAUAUCCUUGCUCUAACAGUCACAUUUCUGUGCAUCACAUGCAGCUUUUACUAAAUCAAGAUGAUAUUUAAGCCUCUUACCAAACAAAAUAUUGCCAAACUACUUUGAGGAAAGGAUUUUCCUACCAAAAAAUGGUGCAGAUUCUCUAAAAAGCAGAACUUACCUCUUCACUUCUCCCUGGCGACAAAACGUUCAGAGAGAGACUUCCUGACACUCCUGCCUUUUGCAGCUGAACAUCUCUUCUGCACACCGAGAAGCAGAGAGAAGUACCUUUGAUCCUCAAUUACAGAGUGUGUGUCCUCCAUACCCCGCCCUGCUUCACUAUUGCUAAAAACUCCUCUGGCCAAAACUGCAUUAUGCAAUAAGGACACCCAUGGUCUGGCUCGGCACCGCACUCUC